rnacentral:rRNA from 1 species
UACGUAGGGGGCAAGCGUUGUCCGGAAUCAUUGGGCGGAAAGAGCGUGUAGGCGGCCCGGUAAGUCCGCUGUGAAAGUCGGGGGCUCAACCCUCGAAUGCCGGUGGAUACUGUCGGGCUAGUGUGCGGAAGAGGCGAGUGGAAUUCCUGGUGUAGCGGUGAAAUGCGCAGAUAUCAGGAGGAACACCGAUUGCGAAGGCAGCUCGCUGGGACGUAACUGACGCUGAGACGCGAAAGCGUGGGGAGCAAACAGG